CGGGGAUUAGCGUCGGGGGCUCUAUUCUCACCAUCCCCACAAGCGCCUUUCAACUCGACUCACUUGGUAACGGAGGCGUCAUAAUAGAUUCUGGCACCUCUGUCACUCGUCUACAAAAUGCCGCAUAUGCUUCCCUUCGUGAAGCCUUCCGCGCUGGCACUUCGGAUUUGGUCUUAACAACUGAAUUUUCCCUCUUCGACACAUGCUACAAUCUCUCUGACUUAAGCUCCGUCGACGUUCCAACCGUCACCCUGCAUUUUCAGGGAGGUGCUGACCUAAAACUCCCUGCUUCAAACUAUCUCGUUCC
rnacentral:lncRNA from 1 species